UUGGAGGGCAAGUCUGGUGCCAGCAGCCGCGGUAAUUCCAGCUCCAAUAGCGUAUAUUAAAGUUGUUGCAGUUAAAAAGCUCGUAGUUGAAUUUCGGGAUCAAAUUGUCGGUCGUGCCUCGGUACGAACUGGUAUUAUUGGUUCCUACCUUCUGAAGAACCGCGAUGUCAUUAAUUUGGUGUCGUGGGGAAUCAGGACAGUUACUUUGAAAAAAUUAGAGUGUUUAAAGCAGGCUUACGCUUGAAUACAUUAGCAUGGAAUAAUGAAAUAGGACGUUUGGUUCUAUUUUGUUGGUUUCUAGGAUUGACGUAAUGAUUAAUAGGGAUAGUUGGGGGCAUUAGUAUUCAAUUGUUAGAGGUGAAAUUCUUGGAUUUAUUGAAGACUAACUACUGCGAAAGCAUUUGCCAAGGAUGUUCUCAUUAAUCAAGAACGAAAGUUAGGGGAUCGAAGACGAUCAGAUACCGUCGUAGUCUUAACCAUAAACUAUGCCGACUAGGGAUCGGAUGAUGUUAAUUUUUUAAUGACUCAUUCGGCGCCUUACGGGAAACCAAAGUGUUUGGGUUC
rnacentral:rRNA from 1 species